GCGCGAAAACUUUACAAUGCGGGAAACCGUGAUAAGGGAAUCUCGAGUGCCAGCAUAUAAUGUUGGCUGUCCAGAUGCCUAAAAAGCAUCUGUUAGCAAGGGCCGGGCAAGACCGGUGCCAGCCGCCGCGGUAACACCGGCGGCCCGAGUGGUAACCGCUUUUAUUGGGUCUAAAGGGUCUGUAGCCGGCCAAGUAAGUCCCUUGGGAAAUCUGGCAGCUCAACUGUCAGGCUGCUAGGGGAUACUGCUAGGCUUGGGACCGGGAGAGGUGAGAGGUACCUUGGGGGUAGGGGUGAAAUCUUGUGAUCCUCGGGGGACCACCAGUGGCGAAGGCGUCUCACCAAAACGGGUCCGACGGUAAGGGACGAAAGCUAGGGGCACGAACCG
rnacentral:rRNA from 1 species